UACAGAUGACGACCGGCGCACGGGUGAGUAACGCGUAUGCAACCUGCCUUUGACAGGGGGAUAGCCCGGAGAAAUCCGGAUUAAUAUCCCAUGGUAUUUACGAAUCGCAUGGUUUGUAAAUUAAAGAUUUUAUCGGUCAAAGAUGGGCAUGCGUGACAUUAGCUAGUUGGUAAGGUAACGGCUUACCAAGGCUGCGAUGUCUAGGGGUUCUGAGAGGAUGAUCCCCCACACUGGUACUGAGACACGGACCAGACUCCUACGGGAGGCAGCAGUGAGGAAUAUUGGUCAAUGGGCGCAAGCCUGAACCAGCCAUCCCGCGUGAAGGAAGACUGCCCUAUGGGUUGUAAACUUCUUUUCUGCACCAAGAAUGGUUGCUACGUGUAGCGAUUUGACGGUAGUGCAGGAAUAAGCAUCGGCUAACUCCGUGCCAGCAGCCGCGGUAAUACGGAGGAUGCAAGCGUUAUCCGGAUUCAUUGGGUUUAAAGGGUACGUAGGUGGCCAAUUAAGUCAGUGGUGAAAUCCUGCCGCUUAACGGUAGAACUGCCAUUGAAACUGGUUGGCUUGAGUACAGUUGAGGUAGGCGGAAUGUGUAGUGUAGCGGUGAAAUGCUUAGAUAUUACACAGAACCCCGAUUGCGAAGGCAGCUUACUAAACUGUAACUGACACUGAGGUACGAAAGCGUGGGGAGCGAACAGGAUUAGAUACCCUGGUAGUCCACGCUGUAAACGAUGCUCACUCGCUGUAUGCGAUACAUUGUAUGCGGCCAAGCGAAAGUCUUAAGUGAGCCACCUGGGGAGUACGUUGGCAACAGUGAAACUCAAAGGAAUUGACGGGGGCCCGCACAAGCGGAGGAACAUGUGGUUUAAUUCGAUGAUACGCGAGGAACCUUACCUGGGCUUAAAUGCAGAUUGACAGAUGUCGAAAGAUGUUUUUUCUUCGGACAGUUUGCA
rnacentral:rRNA from 1 species